rnacentral:rRNA from 1 species
CGUUGGUGACCUACCCCGAAGUGUGGGAUAACAGGCCGAAAGGCCUGCUAAUACCUCAUGUGGUCAAAAGGGUUGAAUACCUUUUGUCUAAAGGAGUAAUCCGCUUUGGGAUGGGCCUGCGUCCCAUCAGCUAGUUGGUAGGGUAACGGCCUACCAAGGCGACGACGGGUAGGGGACCUGAGAGGGUGACCCCCCACACUGGUACUGAAACACGGACCAGACACCUGCGGGUGGCAGCAGUAGGGAAUAUUGGUCAAUGGACGAAAGUCUGAACCAGCAACGCCGCGUGCGCGAUGAAGGCCUUCGGGUCGUAAAGCGCUUUUCUGUGGGAAGAGAAAGGACGGUACCACAGGAAUAAGUCUCGGCUAACUACGUGCCAGCAGCCGCGGUAACACGUAGGAGGCAAGCGUUAUCCGGAUUUACUGGGCGUAAAGCGCGUGUAGGCGGUUCGGUAAGUUGGAUGUGAAAUCUCCUGGCUCAACUGGGAGAGGUCGUUCAAUACUGCCAGACUAGAGGACGGUAGAGGAAGGUAGAAUUCCCGGUGUAGUGGUGAAAUGCGUAGAUAUCGGGAGGAAUACCAGUGGCGAAGGCGGCCUUCUGGGCCGUUCCUGACGCUCAGACGCGAAAGCGUGGGUAGCGAACGGGAUUAGAAACCCCGGUAGUCCACGCUGUAAACGAUGCGGACUUGGUGUUGGUGGUGUAAAAACCAUCAGUGCCGAAGCUAACGCGUUAAGUCCGCCGCCUGGGGACUACGGUCGCAAGAUUAAAACUCAAAGGAAUUGACGGGGACCCGCACAAGCAGCGGAGCGUGUGGUUUAAUUCGAGGCUACGCGAAGAACCUUACCUGGGCUUGACAUAUAGGUGGUAGGGAUCCGAAAGGUGACCGACCCCUCGGGGAGCCUAUACAGGUGAUGCAUGGCUGUCGUCAGCUCGUGUCGUGAGAUGUCCGGUUAAGUCCGGUAACGAGCGCAACCCUUGCCGUAUGUUACAUGUGUCAUGCGGAACUGCCGGUAUCAAGCCGGAGGAAGGUGGGGAUGACGUCAAGUCAGCAUGUCCUUUAUGUCCAGGGCUACACACACGCUACAAUGGUCGGUACAAUAGGUUGCAAAACCGCGAGGUGGAGCCGAU